rnacentral:lncRNA from 1 species
CCGCGUCUGCUUAAAUUUUUACGGGCAUUUGUGAGCGCAGACUAAACGGGCCGGGGCGGCCUGUUUUGCCAUUCUAGUUCUUCCCACAUUUUUUCUCUCUCUUCAAGCAUAAACCCUCGAGUACGUUACUCACUCUUUCAAAGCAGAAGAUUCUGGGCUCAUCCUUUAGUAACUCAACGUUCGUUGUUGCUGCUUCCCACAGGUUUUUUAUCCCAGGUAAGUAUUUAGUUCAUCCCAUUCACUAAUUAUCUGAAAUUUCAAGCGAUUCCUGAUAACAUAGGGUUUAAUAUUUCCCCCUUUCUGAAUUCAUCAAAUUAAUGAACUCUUCGAUUUGAAUUGAGUUAAGAUUUAGGUUUUUAGAUGGCAACGGAAACAAAGGCAGCCACCGAGGACGUGAAGAUUGAUCUCUUUGAAGACGAUGAUGAAUUUGAAGAGUUUGAAAUCAAUGAAGGUAACUAAAUCUGAGUAAUUUUCGUUCUUUCUCGCAACCGCUGAUUUAAUUUCUUUGCUUCUGUUUCAAUUUUACGUUGUUGGUUUCCGGUGGUUAUCUCUGCUUGCUUGUGAUUAUUUUUUGCUUUUUAUUAAUCAGAUUCAGACAUUACUUAGAUUCAUGAGAUGAUUGUGGGUUUCCAGUAGUAACACUCAUUAGAUGAUUGUUGUUUAACAAUUUAGUGAUUUCUUCAUUGAGUAGGGUUUGUAUUUUUUAAUGGUAGAUUGGAUCUACCAUAAACCCAAAUAUUAGUCCGUUUAUGGUCUAGUGGUGUAAGGCUUCACUGGAUACCAGAUAUAGGUAAAGGUUCGAUUCUUGUGAGUGACACUUGUUGGAGGACAACCACGUAGUCCGAAAGGGAUUAGUUCCUUACCCAAAGGGGAAAAGAUAUCCUUGGUUAUACAAAAAAACGACCCCUUCACAUAUUGUGUUGUAGUGUUGUACAUUUAACUCAGUGAACGAUGUUAGACCAAAAUUCAUAAUGAAAUUUAUCAUGUAAUAGUAUAAUAUAUAAAGAAAUAAAGAUAAUUGUGUCAAAGUUCAAAAUGACAUUAAUGCAAAUUAACAAUAAAGUUUAGAAAAGAAAAGUAUGUUUGUUUUAAGUGUUCCUCCCAGUUCUUUUACAGACCUGAAAUCAUCAAUGGCUGAAUCAGAUCUAAAACAUUUACCUAUUCUUGAUUACUUUAAAUCACCCAAAUGGUCAAAUGAAUGCAGUAAUAUCCCCUCACCCUCUCAAAUGGGAAUCUGGCUCUGUGUGGUAAAAAUUAGUAAUAACUGUUAGAUUGUUGUUCAUAGCUAUAACACUAGCUGAAAGCUAUGAGGUUGUUUGUAGUUGAAAACAUAACUGUGUAGCUAGUAGAUUGAAUUAGAGACGUUUGGCAAAAGUAGUUGUACAACUAACUGAAAUCUGUUAAAUGACUAAAACUUUAGGACAUGUAAUAUUACAUUGGGUUGGAGUAAAAAUUGUCAUUUGCUAACGAUCAAAGGGAAAAAGUGAGACAUGAUUUUGGAAGAACUUACAGCUCUAAAAAGCUAUAAAUUCCCCUCUAAAAAGUUAUAAUCUCCCUGUAUAUUUUGUUCACAACUCAAUUUUUUUUUACUGAACCAACAGGUUAUACUCUAGCAUAUAUAUCAUAAGUUUGUUAUGUCAAACACACUUAAAAUUUAGUGGUUUAAUAAUUUUAAUACCCAAAAUAACAUUGUUCUAGAGGUUUAUAUAAUAUAAAAUAUAUUAUAAAAGUGGUUAUAAAUUUCUUUGGCAGAGCAGCAGCUCUCACCCGCUCCUUGCAUAGUACGCCACUGAAAUAAGUGAUAUAGUUAGGUAGUGUUUGGCAUUCUAUUUUGUUUUCUUUGGGUCCACCCUUUUAGUGGAACAGAAAGCUCCAAUUUCACCUUUUGUACCCUAUCUGUCUUGUUUAUAAAAUACGCUUCUCUCACGUUCUAUCAUGUUUACGAAAUGCUGCUUUAGGUAGUGUGUGUUGUGUGGAUAGAAUAGAAUGGAACAAAGUGUUCUGUACAAUCUUGUAUCUAUGGUUCUGCCUUUUUAGUGGGAAUGUAGUGCCCCACUUUUUAACCCUCCUGUCUUGUUAUGUUCUACAUAUAGAAUACGACAAUCUUAGAACAAAACUCAUAUUUUAUUCCAUUAGUACUCUGAUAAAUGCUACCUUAGUACACUACAAUUUAAAAUUUUAGCCAUUUUGCUAUAAUGAGUCACAUUAGUAUUCUACAUAACAUAGAAUACUGAAUGGUUAUUGAUGGUGUUGAUCCUGUCUCGUUAGUCAUAAACACUUUUACUUAAUUGCUUAUCUCUUUAUGGCAUGUGAAAAUUCUCUAGCUAUUGGAGUGUAUAGAGUUCGAGACUGCUUAUCCAAUUUGAUCAGUUUGGCCACUUAAAAUUAGGAGCUUUAGGCUUUCUCAAUCAUGUCCUUUCACAUUCUAAUAUUUGUUUAUAUUUCUUUUCCCUGGUAUUGUUAUACAUCUUACAGAAUGGAAUGACAAGGAGGAAGGGAAAGAAGUGACUCAGCAGUGGGAGGAUGAUUGGGAUGAUGACGAUGUCAGUGACGAUUUCUCUCUUCAGCUGAGGAGGGAGCUGGAAAACAAUACUCAAAAGAAUUAAACCAACUGCAGAUUAUCAUUGCUUGAUAGACCAUUUGUGUUAUUUAGUUAUUUGAGUUAUGGUUGUUUUCUUGCCUGCAAAAGAAAUGGAAACUGAGCCUCUUUUUUAAGGAUAUGUAAUGCAGUAACAUACUAACAUUAGGACAUAAUUCUUCUGCUCUUUCUCAAAUAACAUCUGCAUAGAAACUUGUGGUUACUUAAACUAAAUUAUGUCUCAUUAGUUGCCAUCUACCCUCGAGAAUUGGCUUACAAUUUCAAAUAUUCUGUCCUAUUUUUGUUUUGGCAAAAUCACUUGGGU